rnacentral:rRNA from 1 species
GACGAACGCUGGCGGCGUGCUUAACACAUGCAAGUCGAACGAGAAUCGGUGGAUAGAGGCUUCGGCCAAUUGAAAUCGAGGACAGUGGCGGACGGGUGAGUAACGCGUGAGGAACCUGCCUUUCAGAGGGGGGACAACAGUUGGAAACGACUGCUAAUACCGCAUAAUGCAUAGGGGUCGCAUGAUUCUUAUGCCAAAGAUUUAUCGCUGAAAGAUGGCCUCGCGUCUGAUUAGCUAGUUGGUGAGGUUAACGGCCCCACCAAGGCGACGAUCAGUAGCCGGACUGAGAGGUUGAACGGCCACAUUGGGACUGAGAUACGGCCCAGACUCCUACGGGAGGCAGCAGUGGGGAAUAUUGGGCAAUGGGCGCAAGCCUGACCCAGCAACGCCGCGUGAAGGAAGAAGGCUUUCGGGUUGUAAACUUCUUUUAAGAGGGAAGAGUAGAAGACGGUACCUCUUGAAUAAGCCACGGCUAACUACGUG